rnacentral:lncRNA from 1 species
UACUGCCACACAACCUAUCUGCUCCUUGCUGCUUGCGAGAGGAGGGCAAUGUCUUGUCGGGAUGUGCACGCUCUGUAAUUGGUGAUCUGAAUCUCAAGUUUAUCGGCGCUUUCUCUCUGUAAUUCAAGUUAAUACAAAGCAUGUGUAAUGAGAUUAGAGAGUUAAUGCAUAUAGUAUUAAUCAUUGCAAGGAGACAUUCAUGUAUUAUUUGUGGAAGGAGAUAAUGAACAUUACCUGCAAGUACUGCCACACAACCUGUCUGCUCCUUGUUGCUGGCGAGAGGACUAAUUAUUGCUUGUAUGUGAUGAAGGAUGAGAUCGGGGGCGGUGUCUUGCCUGGAUGUGCAUGAAUUGAGUCGAUAUAGAAUUCUUAUUUGUAAAGAAGCGUAGUUAAGGCUAGAGUUUGUAGGUUAGAGUUUGUCUGUCACACCUGCUCCCACCUGAGCAGUGGACCAUGAGGGAGAAAGGGUCUAGUGUGAGUUUGGGCUGAGCCCAGUGGGCCGUAUGUGGCCAGGGUGCGUGUGUGCAAUGGGUGUGUGUCUGUAUUAAACACCUGGAUUGCGUGAGACAGGGCAGCGAGAGAAACGCUCAUUACUCUAAAUCUCAUCCCCUUUCUCCUACCUUUCCCCUGAGUCUAUCUCUUCCUCCCCCAAAUUACUUCAUGUGCCACCGAUCUCCAACGAUCGGUCGUCACAAUUGGUUAUCAGAGCCAGUUUCCGAGCCCAGAAAUUUUUUGCGCCGCGGCACCGCUACUCCCUUGGCCGGAUCGGUAACAUCCAUCGCGGUAGGUGCGAUUCACUCCGGUGAAGCGCACGAAAUCCUACGCGGGGUUCGAUCCGCUCGGGGCAGGUGACACGGCGCCCUCCAAGCCUUCCGUUCAGACGCGGCAGCUCCUCACCGCCAUGGGGGAGCAGACCGCCAAUCUCACCGCGCUCAUGGAGACGCUGCUCUCCCGCUUCGAUGAAGAGAAGGUGCUCGCCGACAAGCGCGCGGAGGCGCAGACGGCCUUCAACAAUCAAGUCUCCCAAGAGCUCCAGAGCCUAACCAAGCAGAUUGGGCUCACCCAGGCGGACGUGGAUGACGUGCGCAAGGUCACGUCCCCUUCGGCGUCGUCGGCUCCGUCAUCGGGGUCGCAGGUGGAGGAUCCAUCGGCGGCGGUGCUCCACACCCCCGGAAUGCGGGUGGGGUCGCAGCAACAACCACCCCCGCCCGACCCGCGCACGGCGCCCCCUCCGCCCGAUCUGCGCACGGCGCCUCCUCCGCCCGAUCCGCGUACGGCGCCUCCUCCGAGCGCGCUACCUUUUCCGUUGACCAUCACGGGACAAGCUUCGACUGCACGCCUCACCAACGACGGGCCACCCCUGCUCGCGAGGCCCGACGGACCACGGGCGCCGCCGGAGCGUGCACCUCCGCCCGUCCUGCACGAGGAGUACGCGGUCAGGCCGCCCAAGCAUCAGUUUCCCCGUUUUGACGGCGAGGCUCCGCGUGUCUGGUUGGAUCGCUGCUUGGUGUAUUUUGAGCUGUACCGUGUGCCGCUACACAACUGGGUGGCCACGGCGGCUCUAUACGUCGACGGCCAUGCUGCUCUCUGGCUUUGGGCGUUCCGUCAGACCCACGGUGAGCUCACGUGGGACCUGUUCCGCCAAGCGGUAGUGGAGGAGUUUGGCCCUCAAGAAUUUGAGUCCCUGAUGCACAAACUACUUCAACUUUGUCAGACGGGCAGAGACGUCGAGUACAGGCAACAAUUCGAAGUCUAUAUGUACAAUCUGUUGGCAUUGGACGCCACUCUUAGUCCCAAAUUCUUCGUCACUCAAUUCCUGCUGGGUCUCAAAGAUGAACUGCGCACCGCGGUGCGCCUUCAAGCUCCAUCCAGCAUCACUCGCGCCACGGUCUUCGCCAGGAUUCAGGAGGAGGAAUUGGAGCAGCAACGCCCCCGUGUCCGUCAGACCGUCACCGGUCGCCCACCACCCCUGCCUGGCCGACCGCCUCCCUCGGUUGGUCCGGCAACACCGGGGGUGCCGGCCACGCGUCCAGCUCUGGCCACUGCGAGUGCCGAUGAUUUUGGCCGGGAACAUCAGCUCUGAGAUUACCGACGCCAGCAUGGCUAUGCUUUCGUUGUGGCGAUAAAUAUUCCAAGGAGCAUCAGUGCAAACGCUCGGCGCAACUUCUGACGAUCAAAGUGGGUGAACAUGGAGAAGUGCUCUCUGAUGAUGUCGUUCGUGCUCUGGAAUUGCUAGAUGAACCGGUCCCAGCGACGGAAGCAGCUUGCUGUUUACUAUUGGCACAUGCAGUGCAAGGCACUGAAGCUCCAGAAACAAUGCGCCUGCGUGCAAUAGUGGGCAACCAGACCAUGCUGUUGCUGGUGGAUUCAGGCAGCACACAUAGCUUCGUCAAUUCAUCCUUCGCUGCCAGAAUUCAAGCCAAGCAUACUAGCAUUCCUGCUAUUGCUGUUCACGUGGCCAACGGUCAGCGCUUACACUGCACGUCCAUGGUUCCAAACCUCACUUGGAGCACACAAGGUCAUGAGUUCAGCACAAACAUGAGAGUGCUCGAUUUGGGUGUCUAUGAUGCAGUACUGGGAGUGGACUGGUUAGCUGUACACAGCCCCAUGCAGUGUGACUGGAGUCUGAAGACCAUGAACUACCAGAGGCACGGGUGCACCAUUCAGCUGACAGGCGUUCGGACAGAAGAAACAGCAGCAGUAUCGGUCAUGGACGCAGCCACAUUAUGGCAGAUGCAGGAAGCCAAUGAAAUUUGGGGGGCGGCCCUGCUUGAAAUUCAGACGACACCAACUACAGGUUCAGAGUCGGAGGGGCCACUUCCUGCAAUCAUUCAGAAAGUGCUCACAGAUUUCAGUGAUGUCUUUGAAGAACCAACAGGACUUCCCCCGCAUCAUCAGUAUGAUCAUGCAAUCAAUCUGGAACCCGGUGCAGCUCCAGUGAAUUGCAGGCCAUAUCGCUAUUCUCCACUCCAGAAAGAUGAGAUCGAGCGUCAAGUCACCGAGAUGCUACGCACGGGGGUGAUUACGCAUAGCAUGAGCCCAUUUGCUGCCCCCGUUCUCCUGGUAAAGAAAAAAGAUGGAACGUGGCGAUUCUGUGUCGAUUACCGCCGCUUGAACACCGUCACCAUCAAGAACAAGUUUCCCCUUCCGGUCAUCGACGAACUGCUGGAUGAAUUAGCCGGUGCAGCAGUCUUCUCCAAGAUCGAUUUGCGCGCUGGCUACCAUCAAAUUCGGAUGCGCGAAAGUGAUGAGGAGAAGAUAACAUUCAAGACCCAUCACGGACAUUUUCAAUUCCGUGUCAUGCCGUUCGGCAUCACCAAUGGACCACCAACAUUCCAGUGCCUGAUAAAUUAUGUCCUCUCCGGCCCAAACCGUAAGUUUGUCAUCACGUUUUUGGAUGACAUUUUGGUGUUCAGCCAUACCUUGCAGGAGCAUGUGGAGCAUCUGCGCACUGUCUUUGCUCUUCUUCGUUAGCAUCAAUUGUACGCCAAGCGCUCCAAGUGUUCUUUCGCCCAACCCCGAAUCGAGUACCUGGGACAUGUGGUCUCCAAGGAGGUUGUUGCCACAGACGAGAGCAAAACAAGUGUGAUGCGAGCUUGGCCCACUCCUACCAAUCCAACGGAGCUUCGCGGUUUCCUCGGCCUCACAGGCUACUACCGCAAAUUCGUCUCUCGCUAUGGAAUCAUUGCCAAGCCACUCACUCAGCUGCUCACCAAGAAGGGCUUCAAGUGGUCGGAGCAAGCCCAAGCCGCGUUCGAGCUCCUCAAGAGUGCCAUGGCUAAUACCCCUGUACUGGCCUUGCCCGAUUUCACUCGCCCAUUCUCAAUAGAGACAGAUGCGUGUGACACGGGCGUGGGAGCGGUGCUCGUCCACGACGGCCACCCAAUUGCCUAUCUCAGCAAAGCGCUCGGUGUCCGCAACCAGCGACUGUCAAUUUACGAGAAGGAAUUCCUUGCAGUGAUGAUGGCAGUGGAAAAAUGGAGGCCCUAUCUGCAGCGUGCGCCGUUCGUCAUUGUCACGGAUCACAAGAGCUUGUGCCACCUCGGCGAUCAGCUGCUGGAAACAGAGUUGCAGCGCAAAGCCAUGUCCAAAAUGGUGGGGCUAUAGUUUUCCUUCAAGUAUCGCCGUGGCCCAGAGAACGGCGCAGCAGACGCACUGUCGCGCGUCGGCCAUCUGCUCUCAAUCGAUGCUUUGUCUGUCUGUCAACCGCAGUGGCUUCAGGAAGUGAUGAAUUCUUAUGAAACGGACAUAGACAGCCAAGAUCUUCUCCAACGCCUGGCCCUUUGCAGUCCAGAUGAACAAGGGUACGAGCUGCGUCAAGGCAUCAUUCGUUUGCAUAGCAAGAUCUGGAUUGGGGCCAACACCGCUAUACAGACCAAAUUGAUCAAUGCAUUCCACGCAAGUGCGAUUGGUGGUCACUCAGGAGUAACAGCUACGUAUCAGCGGGUCAAAAAGUUGUUUGCUUGGCGCGGUCUGAAACAAGCAGUGGAGGAUUUUGUCCGGCAGUGCUCGGUAUGUCAGCACGCGAAGCAUGAACACUUGAAGACGCCCGGUCUCCUUCAACCUCUCCCAGUACCCACUGAACCUUGGAGGGAUUUAACCAUGAAUUUCGUAGAAGGAUUGCCAGCUUCUGAGGGCUACGAGGUGAUCAUGGUCGUGGUCGACCGCUUCACCAAAUAUGCUCACUUUGUCCCACUACGUCACCCGUUCACAGCAGCAACAGUGGCUCGAGCAUUUUGGGAUAACAUCAUCAAGUUACAUGGAGUGCCCCAUUCGAUUGUCUCCGAUCGUGACAAGAUUUUCACUAGUGCCAUGUGGCGUGCUCUGUUGGAAGCAGCGGGCACGAAACUCAGCUAUUCCACGGCUUACCAUCCUCAGACAGACGGACAGAGUGAACGGGUGAAUCAAUGCCUUGAAAUGUAUCUCCGGUGUGCAGUCCAUGAAACACCCAAACAAUGGCGCAAGUGGCUUCCAACAGCUAAAUUUUGGUAUAACACCACUCAUCACUCCUCCUUGAAUACUUCUCCAUUCAAAGCUCUCUAUGGUCAAGAACCAAACCUCGGUGGCCUGCCCACCUUAUCUCUGAACCUGCCAGACAACAAGGAUGCAGACUUGGACUGGGCAACACACAAUGACAGGCUACGUGCUCAACUUGCCCAGGCACAAAACAGAUGCAAACAGAAGGCUGAUCGGAACAGGACAGAGCAUUCUUUCAAUGUCGGUGAUCAAGUUUUGCUCAAAUUACAGCCCUAUGCUCAGUCCAUCGUGGCCAAUCGCCCUUGCCCAAAAUUAGCAUUCAAGUUCUUUGGUCCGUUCACAGUGGAGCAGUGCAUUGGUACUCGAGCAUAUAAACUGACACUGCCAGCCGGCAAUCGCAUCCACCCGGUAUUCCACGUCUCACAGCUGAAGCCGUUCACACCAGACUAUUCUCCGGUCUUCGCUGAGCUUCCUCGAACACCGGACCUCACUGCUGCGCCACUACAGCCUGAGGCAAUACUGGAUCGCCGAAUGGUCAAGAAAGGCAACACUUCCAUCAUCCAGGUUCGUGUACAGUGGUCAUCGCUCUCUCCGGAUUCUGCAACCUGGGAGGACUACACGGUGCUUCGUCAUCGAUACCCGACAGCCCGAUGUUGGGAUGAUGCCGCUUCCGCUCAAGGGGGGGCAAUUGUCACACCUGCUCCCACCUGAGCAGUGGACCAUGAGGGAGAAAGGGUCUAGUGUGAGUUUGGGCUGAGCCCAGUGGGCCGUAUGUGGCCAGGGUGCGUGUGUGCAAUGGGUGCAUGUCUGUAUUAAACACCUGGAUUGCGUGAGACAGGGCAGCGAGAGAAACACUCAUUACUCUAAAUCUCAUCCCCUUUCUCCUACCUCUCCCCUGAGUCUAUCUCUUCCUUCCUGUGCCACCGAUCUCCAACGAUCGGUCGUCACAUUGUCAUCUGUACAUUUUAAACCUAUAUACAAUAUCUGAGCCGUUAUUAUUUUGUGUCACCAGAUAGAUAGCUCCUACUUGAAGUCAGUUUCCAUGUAUACUACAAUAUAUGCACGUCUCUGUUUCUUACACGUCUUGUCUACACAUUGUUUUUCUUCAGAGAAUUGUAUGUUACAC